rnacentral:rRNA from 1 species
GGAGGUUGUGGGCUUGACCCGUGGCUUCCGGAGCUAACGCGUUAAAUCGACCGCCUGGGGAGUACGGCCGCAAGGUUAAAACUCAAAUGAAUUGACGGGGGCCCGCACAAGCGGUGGAGCAUGUGGUUUAAUUCGAUGCAACGCGAAGAACCUUACCUACUCUUGACAUCCAGAGAAUUCGCUAGAGAUAGCUUAGUGCCUUCGGGAACUCUGAGACAGGUGCUGCAUGGCUGUCGUCAGCUCGUGUUGUGAAAUGUUGGGUUAAGUCCCGCAACGAGCGCAACCCUUAUCCUUUGUUGCCAGCACGUAAUGGUGGGAACUCAAAGGAGACUGCCGGUGAUAAACCGGAGGAAGGUGGGGAUGACGUCAAGUCAUCAUGGCCCUUACGAGUAGGGCUACACACGUGCUACAAUGGCAUAUACAAAGAGAAGCGAACUCGCGAGAGCAAGCGGACCUCAUAAAGUAUGUCGUAGUCCGGAUUGGAGUCUGCAACUCGACUCCAUGAAGUCGGAAUCGCUAGUAAUCGUAGAUCAGAAUGCUACGGUGAAUACGUUCCCGGGCCUUGCACUCACCGCCCGUCAAAA